rnacentral:rRNA from 1 species
CCUACGGGAGGCAGCAGUGAGGAAUAUUGCGCAAUGGGCGAAAGUCUGACGCAGCCAAGCAGCGUGAGGGAUGACUGCCCUCUGGUCUGUAAACUCUGUUUAUAUGGGAGUACAAUGGUUCACGUAAGUGUUUUUGUAUCGACCGUAUCUAUAAGGAUAGCCCAGCCUCACUCCGUGCGAGCAGCCGCGGUAGUACGGCGGAGGGAAGCGUUAACCGGAUUUAUUGGGCGUAAAGGGAGCGUAGGUGGUUUGUUAAGUCUGAUGUGAAAGUGCGCGGCUCAACCGUGGAAUUGCAGUUGAAACUGGAAGACUUGAGUACAGAAGAGGAGAGCGGAAUUCGAGGUGUAGCGGUGAAAUGCUUAGAUAUAAGGAAGAACUCCAGUGGCGAAGGCAACUCACUGGACUGCAACUGACACUGAGGCGCGAAAGUGUGGGUAUCAAACAGGAUUAGAUACCCUUGUAGUC